ACGAACGCAGGCGGCGUGGAUAGACAUGCAAGUCGAGCGGGAUACACGGAGAGUAGCAAUAUUUUGUGUGUUCAGCGGCGCAAGGGUGCGUAACACGUGGGGCAAUUUGCCAUGAAGAUUGGGAUAAUCCCGCGAAAGCGGGACUAAUACCGGAUGUGGAGGAUGGGAGGCAUCUCCUGAACUCUAAAGUUGGGGACCUGUGAGGGCCUGACGCUUCAUGAUAAGCCCGCGGCCUAUCAGCUAGUUGGUGAGGUAACGGCUCACCAAGGCAAAGACGGGUAGCUGGUCUGAGAGGACGACCAGCCACACUGGAACUGAGACACGGUCCAGACACCUACGGGUGGCAGCAGUCGAGAAUUUUUCACAAUGGGCGAAAGCCUGAUGGAGCGACGCCGCGUGGGGGAUGAAUGGCUUCGGCCCGUAAACCCCUGUCAUUUGCGAACAAAGCUCAUGUUUGAAUAGGGCAUGAGUUGAUAGUAGCGGAAGAGGAAGGGACGGCUAACUCUGUGCCAGCAGCCGCGGUAAUACAGAGGUCCCGAGCGUUGUUCGGAUUUACUGGGCGUAAAGGGUGCGUAGGUGGUGAGGAAAGUCGGAUGUGAAAUCUCCGGGCUCAACCCGGAAACGGCAUUGGAAACUACCUUGCUGGAGGUUUUGAGGGGGGGACUGGAAUUCUCGGGUGUAGCAGUGAAAUGCGUAGAUAUCGAGAGGAACACCAGUGGCGAAGGCGAGUCCCUGGAAAAAACCUGACACUGAGGCACGAAAGCUAGGGGGAGCAAACAGGAUUAGAUACCCUGGUAGUCCUAGCCUUAAACGGUGCUUGCUUGCUGUAAGUGGAAUCGACCCCACUUGUGGCGGAGCUAACGCGUUAAGCAAGCCGCCUGGGAAGUACGGUCGCAAGAUUAAAACUCAAAGAAAUUGACGGGGGCCUGCACAAGCGGUGGAGUAUGUGGCUCAAUUCGAUGCAACGCGAAGAACCUUACCUGGCCUUGACAUGUAGGUGGUAGAAGUCUGAAAGGAUGACGACCCCGCAAGGGGAGCUUACACAGGUGCUGCAUGGCUGUCGUCAGCUCGUGUCGUGAGAUGUUGGGUUAAGUCCCGCAACGAGCGCAACCCUGUUGUCCUGUUGCCACCCAAACGAGAGUUUGGAGCACUCUGGACAGGACUGCCUCGCUUCAACGAGGAGGAAGGUGGGGAUGACGUCAAGUCAGUAUGGCCCUUACGGCCAGGGCUGCACACGUACUACAAUGCCCGGCACAAAGGGGAGCAAGACCGACAGGUGGAGCAAAUCCCAGAAAACCGGGCCCAGUUCAGAUUGUCGUCUGCAACUCGACGGCAUUGAAGCUGGAAUCGCUAGUAAUGGCGCAUCAGCUACGGCGCCGUGAAUACGUUCCCAGGCCUUGUACACACCGCCCGUCACAUCAUGAAAGCCGCUUGUACCCGAAGUCGCCCUUUAACCGGUGCCGAAGGUAUGGGUGGUGAUGGGAUG
rnacentral:rRNA from 1 species